rnacentral:rRNA from 1 species
GCGACUAAGCGUACACGGUGGAUGCCCUGGCAGUCAGAGGCGAUGAAGGACGUGCUAAUCUGCGAAAAGCGUCGGUAAGGUGAUAUGAACCGUUACAGCCGGCGAUGUCCGAAUGGGGAAACCCAGUGCAAUUCGUUGCACUAUCGUUAACUGAAUACAUAGGUUAACGAGGCGAACCGGGGGAACUGAAACAUCUAAGUACCCCGAGGAAAAGAAAUCAACCGAGAUUCCCCCAGUAGCGGCGAGCGAACGGGGAGCAGCCCAGA